GAUGUCUCAGCAUCUGGAAACCUUGACAAGGAUAAGAGACUGUUUGUUGAUUGUCAAGAAGUUGCAGUCGUGUACUUCAGGAAUGGGUAUAU